GUGGUGUUAGUGUUUUUGUCCAGUGGACUCAUAAUCCAUUGGUCGAAGGUUCGAAUCCUUCCGGGCCCA
rnacentral:tRNA from 1 species